GACAGCCAGGAUGUUGGCUUAGAAGCAGCCAUCAUUUAAAGAAAGCGUAAUAGCUCACUGGUCGAGUCGGCCUGCGCGGAAGAUGUAACGGGGCUAAACCAUGCACCGAAGCUGCGGCAGCGACACUGUGUGUUGUUGGGUAGGGGAGCGUUCUGUAAGCCUGCGAAGGUGUGCUGUGAGGCAUGCUGGAGGUAUCAGAAGUGCGAAUGCUGACAUAAGUAACGAUAAAGCGGGUGAAAAGCCCGCUCGCCGGAAGA
rnacentral:rRNA from 1 species